GUUGUGUCCAAAACAAGCAUUAAACUUUAAUCAGACAACCGUGUUCAUUCUAGUGGCUCCAAAACUUCCAGUACAACAAUUCGAGGACCAGUCAUCACCAGUCUGGAGACCGUUCUGUAGUCCAGCUGCUGCAGGGCUUCCAGGGUCAACAGCCUGAACAUAACAGGGAGACGCACCUCUGACGACAAAACCCCAGCCCAGAGCGUCUCCUAUCACCUAGAAUCAGGAUUGCAUCUCACCACGGAGGUUGAAGGCAGUGGAGCAAGAGGUGGAAAUCCAGAAGAGUGAAGCUGAAGGGAAUUCAGGCUGCCUCGACGUCCACUGGUGACCUGUUUUACGUCUUUAUUAGACCCCAUAGUUGUUAGAUUAGUUUUGAAAGGAUUAGACAAGAUUAUCAUUCACAACACAGUGCAUAUCACAAAAUGCAGAGUUUUUAGUAUUUUUUUUUUUUUUACCAG